UACAGAGGGGGCAAGCGUUAUUCGGAAUUAUUGGGCGUAAAGGGCGCGUAGGCGGCUUGGCAAGUGGAAGGUGAAAUCCCUCGGCUUAACCGAGGAACUGCCCUCCAAACUGCUUGGCUUGAGACCGGGAGAGGUGAGUGGAAUUCCCAGUGUAGCGGUGAAAUGCGUAGAUAUUGGGAGGAACACCAGUGGCGAAGGCGGCUCACUGGACCGGUACUGACGCUGAGGAGCGAAAGCGUGGGGAGCAAACAGG
rnacentral:rRNA from 1 species